UGCCAGCCGCCGCGGUAAUACGGAGGGUGCAAGCGUUAAUCGGAAUUACUGGGCGUAAAGGGUAUGUAGGCGGCUUCUUAAGUCGGAUGUGAAAGCCCCGGGCUUAACCUGGGGACUGCAUUCGAUACUGGGAGGCUAGAGUUUGGCAGAGGCUGACGGAAUUCCUGGUGUAGCGGUGAAAUGCGUAGAGAUCAGGAGGAACAUCAGUGGCGAAGGCGGUCAGCUGGACAACUACUGACGCUGAGGGGCGAAAGCUAGGGGAGCAAACGGGAUUAGAUA
rnacentral:rRNA from 1 species